GGGGGGGGGGCAUUUACAUGCUUGCAUAUAAUGAUUUUUUUUUUUUUUCAACCAAAUGAUCCUCUUCAUAUCCAGUCUGGCUAAAAACAUAAAGUGUCAAAGAUACACUGACAGUACAUGUAUAUGAAUGACAUUUAAACGAUACUCUUGAUACAUUGAUUUUUUGUAGUAGCAACCGUUGCCCCCUCAGUCGUCGGCAAACUGACAAGCUGGCCAUUUGUAACUGCCAUCAGUGUACUGGGAAUACUUUUGUUCAUCAGCGUUGCGAUACAGGCAGCCGGCUGCUUCUACCGUAAACAAAAGAAGCCACGGCAAAAGAAGGAACAAAAUGUUUCCCAAAGUGGAGCUCAGGCACGAGGGCCAGUCCGGGCCAUUGCAGAUACAGAAUGCUACGAAAACGUCGGGAUCCCUAUGCAAACCAUUCGCGCAGUCGAAAGUGAUACGGUUGAGUCUACGUAUGGUAACGUCCCGGACUGCCGCGCAGCAAUCUCGCGAGAUCAGUUGACCUUCCUUCAAGAACUCACGCAGGGCACCUUCGGGAAGGUGCUACUUGCAAGAGCCGUGGGCAUCGAGCAGCGAGGCCUUGUCACCCGCGUGGCUGUUAAAACUGUAAAAGGUGAGAGGCAUGCCAAUACUCAGUACCGUAUAAUGCA